UACGAGGGUGCAGCGUUAAUCGGAAUUACUGGGCGUAAAGCGUGCGCAGGCGGUUUUGUAAGACAGGCGUGGAAUCCCCGGGCUUAACCUGGGAAUGGCGCUUGUGACUGCAAAGCUGGAGUGCGGCAGAGGGGGAUGGAAUUCCGCGUGUAGCAGUGAAAUGCGUAGAUAUGCGGAGGAACACCGAUGGCGAAGGCAAUCCCCUGGGCCUGCACUGACGCUCAUGCACGAAAGCGUGGGGAGCAAACAGG
rnacentral:rRNA from 1 species